CCCGGGGGUAUGCCUCAGUAACGGCGAGUGAGCGGCAAGAGCUCAAAUUUGAAAGCUGGCUCCUUCGGGGUCCGCAUUGUAAUUUGCAGAGGAUGCUUCGGGAGCGGCCCCCAUCUAAGUGCCCUGGAACGGGCCGUCAUAGAGGGUGAAAAUCCCGUCUGGGAUGGGGUGUCCGCGCCCGUGUGAAGCUCCUUCGACGAGUCGAGUUGUUUGGGAAUGCAGCUCUAAAUGGGUGGUAAAUUUCAUCUAAAGCUAAAUAUUGGCCGGAGACCGAUAGCGCACAAGUAGAGUGAUCGAAAGAUGAAAAGCACUUUGAAAAGAGAGUUAAACAGCACGUGAAAUUGUUGAAAGGGAAGCGCUUGCGACCAGACUCGCCCACGGGGUUCAGCCGGCAUUCGUGCCGGUGUACUUCCCCGCGGGCGGGCCAGCGUCGGUUUGGGCGGCCGGUCAAAGGCCCUCGGAAUGUAACGCCCCCCGGGGCGUCUUAUAGCCGAGGGUGCCAUGCGGCCAGCCCAGACCGAGGAACGCGCUUCGGCUCGGACGCUGGCAUAAUGGUCGUAAGCGACCCGUCUUGAAACACGGACCCAA
rnacentral:rRNA from 1 species